rnacentral:rRNA from 1 species
CAGAGGUCUCGAGCGUUAGUCGGAGUCACUGGGCUUAAAGCGUACGUAGGCGGAUAUGCAGGCGUCGUGUGAAAUCCCUCGGCUCAACCGGGGAACUGCACGGCGAACCGCGUGUCUUGAGAUCGGUAGGGGCUGUCGGAACGAUAGGUGGAGUGGUGAAAUGCGUUGAUAUCUAUCGGAACGCCGAAGGUGAAGACAGGCAGCUGGGCCGAUUCUGACGCUGAGGUACGAAAGCGUGGGGAGCGAACGGGAUUAGAUACCCCGGUAGUCCACGCCGUAAACGAUGUGCACUAGAUCGAGGAGGUUCUGACACCAUUCUCGGUCGAAGUAAAAACGUUGAGUGCACCGCCUGGGGAGUACGGUCGCAAGGCUA